GAUUUCUGGCUUGAUACAUUUUGCCGGCCACGGUUUCGUGUGUUAGUGCUUGAUGUUCUGGCCAUCCUUCCAAUCGCUAUUUAUCUUUCUUCAUUGAUUGGUAAGUGGUAUUGGAUCUUUUACUUUGAAAAAAUUAGAGUGUUUCAAGCAGGCUUUAUGCUAUGAAUACAUUAGCAUGGAAUAAUAAUUUAGGACUUCGGUUCUAUUUUGUUGGUUUCUAGGACUGAAGUAAUGAUUGAUAGGGAUAGUUGGGGGUGCUAGUAUUCAGCGGCCAGAGGUGAAAUUCUCGGAUUCGCUGAAGACUAACUUAUGCGAAAGCAUU
rnacentral:rRNA from 1 species